UACGUAGGGUGCGAGCGUUGUCCGGAAUUAUUGGGCGUAAAGAGCUCGUAGGCGGUGUGUCGCGUCGGUCGUGAAAACUUGGGGCUUAACUCUGAGCUUGCGGUCGAUACGGGCAUCACUGGAGUUCGGCAGGGGAGACUGGAAUUCCUGGUGUAGCGGUGAAAUGCGCAGAUAUCAGGAGGAACACCGGUGGCGAAGGCGGUUCUCUGGGCAUGAUCUGACGCUGAGGAGCGAAAGUGUGGGGAGCGAACAGG
rnacentral:rRNA from 1 species